UUUAUUAAUAAUCACAUUCAUAAUCACAAUAUUUUUUCGUCUACUCUCGUUAUAGUAAACAUAUUCCGCACAUAAUUGCAACGCAUCCACCCUCAUCAAGGUUUUGCGAGCAACUGAGCACAGUUUUUAAAAUCGCUUAACGUCAAAACCUAAUUGAAUUUGAUUUUUCUAUAAGUUCGCCACAUAUGUUUAUUUCGUUCCUAUCAAAUACACAGGUUUGGUUGUUUGUGCAUUUCGCUUUGACUUAACUUCUUACGUUAACUACCGUCUAACUCCACCUUAACUCAGCCUUUACGCACAUCAUUAGCUUAGCCAGUGCAGAUGCUGGGUUAAUAUUUGAUUCUAUAUCAUGUUGUUCCUUCAACAACAAUAAUAUUUUAGUUGGAACUGUUACGUUAUGCAAUAAGAAAAUUAACCUAUUUCGGGGUUGCAACAGAUGUGUGAGUGUAAUUUUGUUGCUAGUGUAAUGCUAAAAUAUUUAUAAUACUUAGUUUUCCAUAUUUUUCGUUUUGUUGAAAUACCAAAUACAUAUAAUUUUAAUAUUAAAAGAAUUAAUCGUAAAAAUUGUCGCAUAUGUUAUUCGUUUGAACGUCAUGUAUUCUGUGGCUAAAAAUCCAAGCAAAAUUGUUGCAAAAACAAGAGCAUAUAAGAAAUGUUGGAGAAUUAAUGCAGAUUUAAGUUUUAAAGCUUAAACUAAGUUUGGAGAUAUAUACUAUCAGGAACAAAAAUUUAACUACACCCUCAUAAAAUUUGAGUUCUCAAGAAAGCCUAAUCUCAAAUAACGGCAUUAGAAACUGAAAAUGUAGUCCUUUCCAUGCCACGUCGUCUGCAAGCAGUCAUAGUAACUCAUAGCCGUCCAACAAAAUAUUUAAGUAUUAUAUUUUGUUGAAAAGUUUGUCAAUUUCUUUGGAUUACAUACAAUUUUGAUGUGUAUUUAAACUUUUGUCCUCAUCAUUUUUUCGUUUUUAUUAAAUUAACCGUUA